GGUGCUAUAGUGUAGUGGUCAUCACUCGGGAUUUUGAUUGCUAAUCUCUUCCCGAAACCCAGGUUCGAACCCUGGUAGCACCU